rnacentral:rRNA from 1 species
CACGAAGCCGGAAUCGCUAGUAAUCGCGAAUCAGAAUGUCGCGGUGAAUACGUUCCCGGGUCUUGUACACACCGCCCGUCACACCAUGGGAGUCGGAAAUGCCCGAAGUCAGUGACCCAACCGCAAGGAGGGAGCUGCCGAAGGCAGGUCCGGUAACUGGGGUGAAGUCGUAACAAGGUAGC